rnacentral:rRNA from 1 species
CCCUAAAAAGUACGUCUCAGUUCGGAUUGCAGGCUGCAACUCGCCUGCAUGAAGUCGGAAUUGCUAGUAAUCGCAGAUCAGCAUGCUGCGGUGAAUACGUUCCCGGGCCUUGUACACACCGCCCGUCACACCAUGAGAGUUGGCAAUACCCAACGUACGUGAUCUAACCCGCAAGGGAGGAAGCGUCCUAAGGUAGGGUCAGCGAUUGGGGUGAAGUCGUAACAAGGUACC